GAUGAACGCUGGCGGCGUGCUUAACACAUGCAAGUCGAAACGAAGCAUAAGAGUUGCUUGCAACACUUAUGACUUAGUGGCGGACGGUGAGUAACGCGUGGGUAACCUACCCUGUACAGGGGGAUAACAGUUAGAAAUGACUGCUAAUACCGCAUAAGCACACACUGUCACAUGGCAGAGGGUGAAAAGAUUUAUCGGUACAGGAUGGGCCCGCGUCUGAUUAGCUAGUUGGCAAGGUAAAGGCUUACCAAGGCGACGAUCAGUAGCCGGCCUGAGAGGUNAACGGCACAUUGGGACUGAGACACGGCCCAAAACUCCUACGGGAGGCAGCAG
rnacentral:rRNA from 1 species